CUACGGGGUGCUGCAGUGGGGAAUAUUGGACAAUGGGCGCAAGCCUGAUCCAGCAAUGCCGCGUGUGUGAAGAAGGCCUGCGGGUUGUAAAGCACUUUAAGCAGGAAAGAAGGGGCUAAGGUUAAUACCCUUAGUCAUUGACGUUACCUGCAGAAUAAGCACCGGCUAACUCCGUGCUGGCAGCCGCGGUAAUACGGAGGGUGCGAGCGUUAAUCGGAAUUACUGGGCGUAAAGCGCGCGUAGGCGGUUCGUUAAGUCAGCUGUGAAAGCCCUGGGCUUAACCUGGGAACGGCAGUGGAUACUGGUGGGCUAGAGUGUGGUAGAGGGUAGUGGAAUUUCCGGUGUAGCAGUGAAAUGCGUAGAGAUCGGAAGGAACACCAGUGGCGAAGGCGGCUAUCUGGACCAACACUGACGCUGAGGUGCGAAAGCGUGGGGAGCAAACAGGAUUAGAUACCCGGGUAGUC
rnacentral:rRNA from 1 species